GGAUGUUGACCGCCAACUUCCCUCAUCUGAUGAGUGAAGUGUAAUAAAUGUGUGCUUUUCUGUUUUGUGCAAAUGUGAGGUCAUUUCCAAAAUUAGCCUGUCCAACUGCUGAAAUCCCCGAGUUCCCAAACUCUCAGCAGGAAACAGGCCGUGGACGUCCAGAUGUUUCUCCUCACAGUGUUCGUCAGGAAGGGGAUUGCCUCAUGAGGAAAAGAAAUCUCAUGGAGUAGAAGAAACCAGAGAGGCCACGGUAUCAGAGUGUGACAGUCAAAGGACACAAAAGAAAAAGUUAUUUAAACCAGCAACCAGCCUUAAGAGGAAACUGAGGAGGAAGCAGCGAAUGUGGAACACCCUUUCUGUCCUGCCAUACCCUGGGUGCUGGGAUACAACGACAAGAGAAGAACAAGCAUCAGAACAUGUGUGUGCAACCAAAGACCAUCGCAGCCCCAGACCAUCUGCGCAAGAAGAGCCUGGGCAAGUGCUGGUUGAAGAGGGACGUCUUGAAGGCACGUUUGCACAAAUCACUCUUAAUUGGAUGAAAAAGUGUGCCGAUCCCUGGAGCAGGUCUUCCAAAGCACAGAAGACAACGAUCUUUAAGACAAGAGCGCUGCCUCCUUCCUUUGCAGACCACCACCUCAUCACUUCAAUUUCCUCUAAAGAAAACAAACUGUUUUUCUCAUAUUUCAUGGCUUUGAGGUUUAUUCCAAGCCUUGCCAGUGGCCUCAGGCUCCUCGUUGCCUUAUUUGAAACAAGAGAUAUAGAGCAGCCGAGACAGAUGACGAUGUGGAGAGGGAAGGAGGCGAGACGGGGCCCACGCUCAGACUCCCUAAAUCCACGAGGGAAACUUCCUUCUGUUGGCACCAGUUCAAAACGAUGCGAUGUGGCCUUUUCUAAAGCUUCGCACUAUUUUUAUUGCAGUAAAAUGUUUAUUGUGUUUACAGAGAGAAUUGUUGUCUUAAAACUGAUGUUUACUAUGGUAGGGUUUGACCUGUGCUUGGUGAAGCUAUGUUUUAAAAUAAUACACUCAAGUUUAUGAAGGAAACCUCAACUCUUCCCAAAGAGAGAAACUGAAGGGUUUUUUUGCUGAAAUAAGUAUUUCAUUAGGUUAGAAAAAUUGAUAUAUUUUUGUUAUUUAAUGACUUCAUCACGCUCUGUGAAAUGCAUCACUCCAUUUUAUCUGCUCUUUGUCUGGAAUCACCACAUGCUACUAACUGGCUCCUCUUUAUUCUUUGCUACACUACAGAAAUUCUUUAUCAUUUAACUUUAUCACAGGCAGGCAGAGCCUGGUUCCUAUUAGAGAGAUAAGGACUGUUUCCUUAAUUACUGUACAUAGAAAACAGCAUUUAGUCUGGCAGUUCCCACACUAUUCAAUCAGGCAAGAUUCGAUAUGAAAAAAUACAGCUGAUUUGCCAAAUCAGACAUUUGUUCCACACAAGUCCGUUAUAACUCACGUUAUAAAUGAAACAAGUCAUGGAGGCACUUAUCAGUACUUAUCAGUACGCGCCUGCGAUCACAUUCUGUUUUUCGAAGUUGACGCUCUCAGGAGCGCUUCUUGCUGGAAGUUCUCUCUGACAAUUAUGGAGGGAUCCCCACGCCGGCGUCCACCUGACCGAAGAGAACAAGACAGCCGCGUGGGCCAUUUCAGAAAUCACCACUUUCUAGCUAAUCGCAGUUUCCAAAUUCAACCUACUGGUGCUGCCGAGAGCGAGAAGAACUUCCCUAAUCGGAUCCUGGCCGCAUUGUGACUCACACUGCUGACUGCCCCCCACCCCCCACCCGGUGCCUCCACUCUCCCUCGUG
rnacentral:lncRNA from 1 species